rnacentral:rRNA from 1 species
GAUGAACGCUAGCGGCAGGCUUAAUACAUGCAAGUCGUGGGCAGCAUGAAGUAGCAAUACUUUGAUGGCGACCGGCAAACGGGUGCGGAACACGUACACAACCUUCCUUUUAGUGGGGAAUAGCCCAGAGAAAUUUGGAUUAAUACCCCGUAACAUAGCGAUGUGGCAUCACAUUGCUAUUAUAGCUUCGGCGCUAGAUGAUGGGUGUGCGUAUGAUUAGAUAGUUGGCGAGGUAACGGCUCACCAAGUCUACGAUCAUUAGCUGAUGUGAGAGCAAGAUCAGCCAAACGGGCACUGAGACACGGGCCCGACGCCAACGGGAGGCAGCAGUAAGGAAUAUUGGUCAAUGGACGAAAGUCUGAACCAGCCAUGCCGCGUGAAGGAUUAAGGUCCUCUGGAUUGUAAACUUCUUUUAUAUGGGACGAAAAAAGGUCUUUCUAGAUCACUUGACGGUACCAUAUGAAUAAGCACCGGCUAACUCCGUGCCAGCCGCCGCUGUAACAC